GAGCCGCGUGCCGUUUACAGGGUCUAGGUCACAACAAGCCCCGAAAUUUCGGGGCUUGUUGUUCUUUCACUGCAGUAAUACUGGGCUAAUAAGCCCUUUUUUU
rfam:Secondary endosymbiont of Ctenarytaina eucalypti chromosome, complete genome.